rnacentral:lncRNA from 1 species
UUUUGGUUUUUAUCGAGUAGCAAGCUAUGAAAGGCACAAAAAAAACACUAGUGUAAAACUAUUUGAACAGGAAAAAUAAAGGUCUAAUGUAAAAAACAUGAAACCAGAAACACGUAUGAACAAUUCAACAAACGACAACUACUGAACGACAGAUUCCUGACUAAGGACAGGUGCAAACAAAUGCAGUUAGUUUAACGUUUAUAUACGUACCAUAGACUCAAUAUAAAAUAUAAACACGAUUUUGACACAAUAUUGUUAGCAUUGUUAUGUGAACAAUUUAAACAGAAAGGUAUUUAUAAAAAAAGAAGUGGUAUGAUUGCAAAUAAGUAAAAUUUCCAGUACAUACAUACUAACUGGC